GUGGAGUCCUAGUAAUGAUAGAAUUACAAGGUCAGGGUGUAUAACCACUUUAAAGGCUUGUCAUAUCUGUUGCUCUUUCAUGACUGUUGAUCAAGUUAGAAUUUUUAGUGUGGAGUCACCCAGUUAAGCCAUGUGUUCUUAGUGCCUAAAUGUUUUUGGCUUUGUCUUUUUUUGUGUCAACCAGGCAUCCCUCCACAUUUGUGGACACUGGGUGGACAAUAAAUAUUAUAUAGAACUUUAUUCCUGUCACAUUUUGCCUGUUAAAUUUGGCCCAACCUGCCAACAUCUCUCGCCUCUGAUUCAGCCACCGAUGUGGGGGUCAUGCCUUCUGUAGCUUCACUCGAGUCAGGAUGGAAAUGAGGAGAGCAGGACCUCAAGGGGAUGUCGCGUUCUUUCCCAAUAAGGCUAAUUAAGUGUAUUAAGCAUUUACUAGGCACUGCACGUAUGUUAACUCAUUAUUGGGUCAUCACAGAAUUCUCUAAAAGCCGGUAUUACUGUCUCCACUUUAAGAUGUGGAAACUGAAAUUCAGGGAAGGAAACUGUCAAGCUGGUCACCCUGCUCCAAGUGAGCAGAGCCAGGAUCCCUACCCUGGGCUGGGGUUUUGGUCUGCGGCCCAAACGGCCAGCCCCGCGCUAGAGGAAUCCACCACCAGGUGGCGGCAGAGCCAGUGGGCCCAGGAAGGACCUCUCACUGGAGAUCAGAAAACAGCCACAAAACUGCAUUUUCUUCCUGUAAAGUAGCACUGACUCUUAUUGACAUGCCCAAAACUAGAUUAUUCAGUAAAAUAAACAUUAACCCAACAGGCACAUUCCUUGGGUUGAAAAGAUAAUAAAGUAAACAGACCUUUGAACGUGGACCUUUCCAGCCUAGAUUUCAUGGCUGUGAUGCCUCGGGGGAAAUCUCCGCUCCUAACUCACCUGCGCUAGGAUGAUCCUCCCUGACUUUCCACCCACUCCUUGCUGCUUCUGCCCCCUGCACUCUACACCCCUAGCGGUAAUCCAGGCUGGGACGUCCUCAGCUGGGAGAGCUGAUCAGAAACUGGGGCAGAGGUUUUAGAGAGGGGAACUUGGUGGCCCAUGAAAGCACUCCUGGGACUGAGAUAGUCCCGGUUUUGGGGAGAAUCCUCAACUUGCCAUCAACCACCCACCCUCCCAACCUAUCCAGCUUGCCAUGAAGGACGUGUCUCUUUCUGUGAUCUGAGAGUCCACAAACCCCUCUCAUGUCUUCAGUCUCCCAGUCACGGUUUGAGAUUUUUCUGCCUCCUUUAAAAAAAAAAAAAAAAAAAAAAGGCUUUAUGCUUUCUCUUUAGAGUUCCUGGACCAGCACCAGGGCUUUGCUUGGUGCUUCCCCCUCUUGCCCUGCAGCAUCUUUUUCAAACCCUUUGACUCUCCGCCAACAGAAAUAGAACAGCAAAAGGAGUUUUUAACACUCUGUUACACGUAGGUUCUGCCGCAUGGUCCGGGGUGGGCUCGAAGCCACCCCGUGGUGUCCCCUGCUGCAGUCUGACUGCUCCCGCGCCCAGUCCUUGCUUGGGGGAGGGUCUCUCUGCUGCACCGGCGGAGACAAGUUCCCGGCAGUCAGGGGCCUCUGGCGCUGGAGAAGCGGCCGGGAGAGGAGCUCUGAGCCCCACCCUGUACAAGUUUUGUGGUUUGGGGUAGGUUAUGUGAGUUUUUGAGACUUGGUUUCCUCCGUGCAAAGUGGACAUAAGGGACUUCUCUGGCGGUCCGGUGGUUAAGACUCCGUGCUUCCCCUGCAGGGGUUGUGGGUUCGAUCCCUGGCUGGGAGCUAAGAUCCCACAUGCCGUGCGGCACAGCCAAAAGAUACAAAAAUAAAUAAGUAAAUAAACUUUUUUAAAAAACAUAAAAAAAAAAAAAACCAAAGCACGCGUAAGUAUAGCGCCUACUGUGCAGAAAUGUUGUGUUAGGUACAGUAAUGCAUGUCAAGUGCUUAGCACAGUGCUUUGGCGCACUGGGCUAAGUGCUCGGUGAUGCUGGCUAUUGUUCAGUUAAAUAGGGGGUGGGGGUAGCUAAUGGGAUCAGAACAUUACUGCUGGCGGACCCGUAGAGAUCAGGCGAUGCGACGGUCUGGGUGUUCAUUUCCCUCCAGAUUCCUAUGUUGAAAUCCUGAUGCCCAGCCUGAAGGUAUUAGCGGGUGAGGUCUUUGGCCCUGAGGGUGGAGCCCUCGGGAACGGAAUCAGUGCUGUUGUAAAAGAGACCCCGCAGAGCCCUCUCGGCCCUUCCACCCUGCGAGGGCCCGGCAGGAAGUCAGCACCCGGAAGAGGGCUCUCACCGCCACACGACCCUGCUGACGGCCGAUCGUGGACUUCCAGCCUCCAGACUGUGGGAAAUUGCUGUUGCUCAGCAGUGUGUGCGGUGAUGUCACAGCAGCCUGAACGGACGUAGGCGGGAUAAUUCUCUCAGAUAACCGGGUGUCUUGCUUUACCAGCUUGGAUGAAAAUAAGAAACUAUUUUUUAAGGUCCAAAUAAGUGAUUCCAAGCUCCCAACAUACAACUUAUUAAGAAUGUUUCCCAUUAUGUGUCCAUUAUAUCUCAGUAACGCUUAAAAAAAGGUGUCCUCCCAAUAGUGAAUCUAGAGACUCUGAGCGGUUUCCAGUCGUGGUCACUUCACGUCUGAGAAGAUAUGAGGCCAAAAGGACCUCCCAGGCCACAGCUGUAUCUCAGGGCUCUCUCUGCAGGUUGGGGGUCAGCCAGGGCUGGCCUGGGCUCCCGUGGCGAUGGUGUUUUAGAGAUGGCGUUCUUUGAGCUUCUCCACACAGGCGCUGGUCAGCCUGGGCUGGUUCUCCCCGCAGCUCUGGAUCCUGCAGGGCUCUGGGUCCCCCGGGAGCUGGAGGCUGUCCCUCGUUGCAGCUGCCAGCAAAAUGAAGUGGCAGCCCAGCGGUGCUCCUGUGAAUGCCACCCCCCUGCACCCAGCACCAGCUCACCCCCAGCCCCAAAGCUGCUCCCUGUCCUCCCAACAUCUCCAAGUCGCGUUCCGAAAGCCCCAGAGGAAGCCCUUCCUCUCCCAGGCCUAGGUUCGCAGCAGCCCCAGAGUCCUCCUCCCUGCAGCAUCUCCAAUUUCCUUCAGGAGAAGCUACCAUCCUGCUGCUCCUGUGUUUCGGUGAGAAAACGGCAGCCUGAGGGAGGUGAGGUGACUGCCCAGCACCCAGGGCUGGUCAGGGGCAGGGCCCACGUGUCCUGACAGCCAGCACAGAGCUCCGCCCAGACCACAGCAGGCCUAGGUUAGAAUGUAGAAAUCGGGAGGGACAGGUAGGGGUCGGGGCCAGGAGCAGGUCCGUUAAGUGGGCACCGCGGGGAGCUGUGGGGGCCGUUGAGUUUGCUGUGUGGGGGUGGAUGUGAAGAAGGGGCCAAGGCCCCUAGAUGCUGGUUUUCAUUUUUGAUGGAAAGUUGUCUCAAGAGCUGUGCCAUUAGGUGCUUAAUGAAUCAGAAACAGUUUUUUGAGGAUGAGAAGGAAAUACCCAGUGCUGGCUUAUGGGCUGUAGGGCUGUUUUAAAGAGCAAAACCAAAACCAUGAAGUCUGGGGACUGUGAAUUCCAGUCAUGUGCGUGCGAGCUGCUGUUAAUUUGCAGAUUGAACCUGGGCCCUAACAAGGCACACAUAAAAUUAAAUGAACUAAUUAGUGCUCAUGUUGGCACCUGCUGUCAGGACAGUUACGCAGUGAGGGAGCGGUGACAGCCUAAGAACUUUAAAUAGGGUUCUUCUUUUCUUGGUCAGCUGCGUGAAUGCGGAGCUGCAAAAAGCACGGAAACACACUUGAGCACACCACCACCAUCCCAGCAGCCCCCACACGGAUGGAUGGGGUCAACACGGAGUGGUCAGAAACCGGAGAUCCCAUCAGUCCUGACCCAGAUAGGGCCUGACCUCUCUGUGCUGGCAACUUGUGGACCCUUUCUCCAGGGUACUCUUCCUUAUUGAGACCGGGAGCAGCUUGGGGUGCCUGGCAUCAAGGUGCUUGGUGCAGGAGGGAUGGGGGAAUUCAUCUAGCUUUGGCUACGUGUAUCUUGGGGUUGCAGGCUGGGGCAUCCAGGCUGCUCAGAGCCCUUUAUCCCAGACCUUCAGAGAGGGGAGCUGUUGCUCUAGGUGCUGGCUGCUUCCACCUUAAGGCAGUGGAUCUCGAAGUGUGGAGUGAGGGGACCAGCAGAUCAGCAUCACCUGGGAACUUAGAAAGCCAGGUUCCCAGCCCCACCCCAGACCUGCUGAAUCACGAACUCCGUGUAGGUGGUGGGAGCAACACCCUCCUGGUAGCUCGGAUGCACCUUCAAGUUUAAGACGUUCUGCCCUAGGGGGUCCUGGGACGGUAGUAGCUUCAGGUUAAGCGUGUGGCCUGCGUUCCAGUUCUGGCUUUGCAGUGGGUGGGCCGAGGGCGAGGCUGGGGGGCGCCUGCAGGUGGAUUGUAAGAGGGCCUGGCUCUCUGGUGGACCCUGGCUCUAGCCACCUCCGUUGCCUCCCCCUGUUGCCAGCCCUGUCUUCCCAGUGAGUGGGUGUGCGACCUUGGACCCUAAAGAACUGAGUUCUGGUUUUGUUGCUCUGAGGUGGCGCCCUAGGAAUGUGCAUUUUAAGAGCUCCCCAGUUAUUCUUGAUGGUCCGCCAGACUUGGAGAUUGCUGGCUUAACAUCUGUGAACCUCAGUUUUCUAACCUGUAAAACCGGAUGGUAGUGUCUGCGUCAUGGGGUCGUGGUGGGGAUUAAACGAAGUAGUGCAGGGAAAGCCCUUAGCAGCCAUGUAGCCAUUUCCUUGGAGAGAUCUGUUUCCAUGCUGAAUCCCCCGUCCUACCAUCGACUUCACCUCAAACCUAGGGGGAGAGGCUUCCACGGGGCUACUUGGAGAACUUACCAAGCACUUCAGUUACCUAUUGCUGCAAAACAAUCCACCCCCAAAAUUAGUGCCUUAAAGCAGUAAUCGCUGAUUUGUUCACAUUUUUACAGUUUGGCCUAGGCUCAGUGGGGACAUCUGUCUGUGCUCCACAUGGCUCGGUCACCUGGCUGGCAAGUUGGUGCUGGCUGACGGCUGGGAGGUCAGCUGGCCUUGUUGGCCGAGGGGCUCGUUCUCCUCCCUGUGGCUGCCUGGGCCUCCUCCCAGCAUGGAUGCUGGGUGCCAACAGGGAGGAAGGGGACGCUGCCAGUCUUCUUAAAGGAUGGGUCCGGGACUGGCUGUGUCACUUCCAGCCGUGCUGUUGGUUACGCGUCACAGGCUAGUCCACAUUUCAGGGGUGGGAUAGUAGAUUCUGCUUCUUGACAGCUGAGUGGACGUGCGCAUGGGAAGGGAGGCACUGAUGGUGGCCACCUCUGGAGACGGUGGCCACCUAUGGAGACGGCGACCACCUCUGGAGACGGCGACCACAGGCCUCUGGGGCUGAGGGGGUGAGUGGGGCCCAGGAGCUGAUUCCUUUCUCUGGAGCAUGACAGACAGAUGUGCUCGCGCGGGGCUCUGGAGGCAGAGCCAGGACCGUGCAACUUCAUUAGGACCAAGGGGAUUGCGAGUGUUUCCCAUGGAUCACACGUGGGCCACGCAGAGGAGGGAGACCGGGAGGCUCCAGCAGCAAGACGCUGGCCAUUCGCAUACAGAUGAGUCGUGGAUGAAGGGAGCCGUGAGAGAGAGGUCUAGGGCUGGGAGUCUCGCAGCAAUCCACGAAAGCACCUACAACUGAGGACCUGCUGCACAGCACGGGGAGCUCUCCUCAGUGCUCUGUGCGGACCUAAAUGGGAAGGAAAUCCGAAAAAGGGGAUGUAUGUAUACCUAUAGCUGAUUUACUUUGCCGUAUAGCAGAAGCUAACACAACAUUGUAAAGCAACUAUACCCCAAUUAAAAAAAAGAAAAGUCUGCUUAAAUUCUCUACCAGCCCGGAGAGUACAAAGCUGUCCAGCCAAGUAGUGUAUGACCAGUCCCCUCAUCCCACCUCCUGCCCUUUCCCUCACCUGGUGAGGAUGGAAAGAGCCGCAGUGUGGUGGGGAGGAGAGGGGAUCAGAUUGGAGGAAUAAGCAGCCUUUCCCAGAGAUGGUACCACCAACUCCAAGCCUUGGUUGGGAGGGAGGAAGAAGACUCCUUUAAGUGAAGCGUCAAGACUGUCUAAUAUAUAACUACGGAACAAGACUGACUUUCUGACCUAAAGUAACUACAAGGCUCUCUCUUCCCUAAAACUGAGCACGCAAGAGUCACGCGGUAGAAGGAUGAAAAUUUACCCACUGAUAACAUUUAAAGGCUAGUGGGAGACAGAAGAAAGUUUAGUUGGUGACAAACCAUGCUUGUUCCUCAUACAGAUACAAUCAAUGAUCGUGACUGCAGCAAACCCUGGGCCCGGGCUGGAACUCCGCCAUGACGCUGUGUCCAAAGGCCACCGUGUGAGCAGGCGGGACCCUUAGGUGUUGUGCAGGGUGUUUGUUCCCAUGGCCUUGCUUCGCAGUGGGGAGAGGCUCACCAGAAAGUUCUCCCAGAUCCCAGGGAAGGUGGUUUUCAUUUCCCUCUGGGGCCUCAGAUCCAUCAGGUAGGGAAAGUAUCUGCGACCCUUCUGGACCUCUUGUCCUGGUCUGGAGGUGUCUUCCGUCUCUGUCUGCCUCAGGCCUUGGGUCUAGAGAUGACUACACCUCCCUCACAGGUGUGACUUGGCACCCAUGGGCCAGGAUCUUCAUACUGUCCCUGUGUUGACAGCCGUGGUUGUGGGCGCAAGCAGAUGAGGGGUCGCUGGUGGUAAGGAGAUGCUGGCUGCAUCAAUAAAAUACAACCCAGAGUUUCUAAGUCUGGUCAUGAGACAGAAGCUCUUUUGGAGAGAGAGGGGCUGUGGCUCUUUUCAGCUAUCCCUGCCUCCCACGCACUGCUUUCACCUUGGUGCCCUGACCCACGUGUGGAGGCACCAUCUUUUCUCAUGGUCUGAACGGCUGAGACAAGACGAGCCCCCUUCAACAGGUUUGACCAAAAUCUUAGGCCAUACAAACGAGCAGUGAACGCAGAGAGGUCCCUCUCUCUGACCCCAGACCUCCCAGCUCUACAGGGUGGACACCACCUUGGCCCCAAGGUCAGAACGAUGAGGAUGGUGGAAAGAAGUGGAUCCCUCCCCCCUGCCUGCCUAGGGCCUCAUUUUAAGUGAAGAACCUCUUCUUCCCAGAGGGGAUUAGCCCUGGAAAUAACAUCCUCUCAAGGAAGUCUGGAUGCACAGCUGUCCCCUCCCCAUUCCAAGGGAUUCCUACGUCAGGUUCAAGUUAUAUUUCAACACCAUGACCCCAGGAUUCAUAUAGCAAAGCUCAUCCACACAGCAGUAAAGCUUGGAUCUAGAUCUUGUUGAACUCUUAAGCAGCCAAUAAAAUCUCCUAGGAUUCUUCCAGUCAUUAGUGCUAGUCAACAAAUGUUUACGCUUCAUCUUCCUGCCACAUCUUUUGCUUUGAAGUUAGGUGUAGGCCUGUGAAAUGGUUUUAAAAUAUCCACACGUUCUUUGAUACUCCUCCUUUCAGGAGGUGGAGCUUAGCUUUGCCCUUAUAGUAUGGGCUGGAGUUAUGACUCAGAAGUUUCUGACUUCUGAGACUAGGUCCUAAAAGGUUUUGUGGCUUCCUCUUGGACUCCCUAUUGACUUGCUCAUUCCAGGGGAAGCCAGCUGCCAUGUCAUGAGAACACUCAAAAAGAGUGCUUUAGAGAGUUGUAUGUGGCAAGAGCCCGAGGCCUCCUGCCAACAACCAGUCCUGAGCUGCCAGACGUGUUAGUGAGCCGCCUUGCAAGCAGAUCCUCUGGCCCCGUCAAGCCUCCAAAUGCCUGUAGCCUUGUGAGAGACCUGGGGCCAGAACCACCCAGCUAAUCGUCUUACAGAUUCCUGACCCUCAGAAGCUACGUGAGAUCAUAAACAUUCAUUGUUUUCAGCUACUAAGCAUUGGGGUUAUUUGUUAUAUGGCAGUUGAUAACUAAUACACCUGUGAUUUGCUUUGGCUUAUGAAGAAUGGACAGACGUGUCGCCUGUCAUUUCCAGGAAGAAACCCUUAAGAAUAAGAGAGCCUGUGCCAGCUUGGAGAUUUCAGACCUCUCCUUAGAGCCUCAUUAUCCUAGUGAGGUCAGCCUUGCCAAGUGUCCACCACCCAGGCAUCUUCCCCCUACGAUUUCAGCUUGUUUUCAUCUUGUGACUCUCUGCUCAUGUUUUAUGAAAGACAUCUCUUCUUCCAUCUUAUUGAAGAUGACAGGAACCAGGGCUUCUAGGGAAAAUGGCUGAUUCCGGGUCUGGAUGGGAAAUAUACAAGAUAAACCUGAACAUCCUGUCACACCAGACAGUGAGGAUUAUACGUCAAAAGGAUUCAGGAAUCGAUGUGAAGGGGCUUCCAUUGGCCGAUGCUGGAUCAUCCGAGCAUCAGUGCGGAUAACGGCCAUGGAUGGAACCACUCAGUAUUAAAACUCCUCAAAAGCUGCCAUGUUGUGAUAAGCUCUGUGGAGAAGCCCAUAUCUCAAGGAACCAAGGAAUCCUCAGUCCGCCAACCAUUAAGGAGCUGAAUCCCAUCAACAGCCAUGUGAGGGAGGGAGGAAGUGCGUCUUUCCUUGUUGAGCACGAAGAGAAGCCCAGAGCCAGGGACCCAGAAUGCUGCUUUGCAACGUGGUAGCACCGUUAAGCUUCAGGAACGGAAGCAGACUGGCUUGUUCUGAAAUGACGUCUGAGAGGAGCAUGGUUUAAAAUGGCAGCUCUCAAACCUUCAAGAAUAGAGCGUCUCACCUCUGGCCGCACAUUAGAAUGACCCAGAGUAUGAAAAACAUGACCCCUGCCUAACCCAGUCCCAGCCCAGUUGGGAACCACUGCUCAGACCGGAGGCAGGCUGACCUGCCAGAGGGCAAAGAUGCCAGCAGUGCCCCCUCAGUUGUGGCAACUAAAAAUAUCUCCAAAAAAAACAAAAAUAUCUCCAGAUGUUGCCAGAUGUAACCUGGGAGCAGCCCUUCCACCACCAUUAAGAACACUGAGACUUCAGGGAGACUGUCUCAAAGAAAGACCAGUGUGGAGCCCCUGUGAAUACUGAAGACCCAGAGAAGGUAUCUGGUGUAUUUGGGUAGCUGGGGCCCUGACUAAACUGGAGCAUUUGGGUAGUGGGUGAAUCCUCAGAAGUUAAUUAAUUCUAUGAAAAGCUCAGGUGCAGAAAUAUAUAUGCAUAUGGACAUAGAAGGAUGAAAGGAUGAAACCAUAGUUUCAUGAGAAACACAGCUCAAAAUGCAUGCUUUUCCUCCUAUAGUCACUGUGGGGAGCUUUACACUUGUGCCAGAGGUGCCUCAUCAUGCAGGGUGGGGCUGGGGCUGUCCUGCGGAGCUGCUUCGGCUCUGAAAUCUCUGCCUGUGGCACGUCUUCACCGUUUGGAAACAGCUAGCAGUUGCCAAAAAUGGUGAGCAAGGUAGACAACCAAAUUAGGUGAGUAUGUGUAUUUUCUCAAA